GACGAACGCUGGCGGCGUGCUUAACACGUGCAAGUCGAACGGAGAGGCCCUGCUUUUGUGGGGUGCUCGAGUGGCGAACGGGUGAGUAACACGUGAGUAACCUGCCCUUGACUUUGGGAUAACUUCAGGAAACUGGGGCUAAUACCGGAUAGGAGCUCCUGCUGCAUGGUGGGGGUUGGAAAGUUUCGGCGGUUGGGGAUGGACUCGCGGCUUAUCAGCUUGUUGGUGGGGUAGUGGCUUACCAAGGCUUUGACGGGUAGCCGGCCUGAGAGGGUGACCGGCCACAUUGGGACUGAGAUACGGCCCAGACUCCUACGGGAGGCAGCAGUGGGGAAUAUUGCACAAUGGGCGGAAGCCUGAUGCAGCAACGCCGCGUGCGGGAUGACGGCCUUCGGGUUGUAAACCGCUUUCGCCUGUGACGAAGCGUGAGUGACGGUAAUGGGUAAAGAAGCACCGGCUAACUACGUG
rnacentral:rRNA from 1 species